rnacentral:rRNA from 1 species
UGGGGAAUAUUGCACAAUGGGGGAAACUCUGAUGCAGCGACGCCGCGUGAACGAAGAAGGUAUUCGUAUCGUAAAGUUCUGUCCUAUGGGAAGAUAAUGACAGUACCAUAGAAGAAAGCUCCGGCUAAAUACGUGCCAGCAGCCGCGGUAAUACGUAUGGAGCGAGCGUUGUCCGGAAUUAUUGGGCGUAAAGGGUACGCAGGCGGUUUAAUAAGUCGAAUGUUAAAGAUCGGGGCUCAACCCCGCAAAGCAUUGGAAACUGAUAAACUUGAGUAGUGGAGAGGAAAGUGGAAUUCCUAGUGUAGUGGUGAAAUACGUAGAUAUUAGGGGGAAUACCAGUAGCGAAGGCGACUUUCUGGACACAAACUGACGCUGAGGUACGAAAGCGGGGGGAGCAAACAGG